rnacentral:rRNA from 1 species
GUUUGAUCCUGGCUCAGAUUGAACGCUGGCGGCAUGCCUUACACAUGCAAGUCGAACGGUAACGCGGGGGCAACCCUGGCGACGAGUGGCGAACGGGUGAGUAAUAUAUCGGAACGUGCCCAAUAGUGGGGGAUAGCUCGGCGAAAGCCGGAUUAAUACCGCAUACGCCCUACGGGGGAAAGCGGGGGAUCGAAAGACCUCGCGCUAAUGGAGCGGCCGAUAUCUGAUUAGCUAGUUGGUGAGGUAAAAGCUCACCAAGGCUGCGAUCAGUAGCUGGUCUGAGAGGACGACCAGCCACACUGGGACUGAGACACGGCCCAGACUCCUACGGGAGGCAGCAGUGGGGAAUUUUGGACAAUGGGGGCAACCCUGAUCCAGCAAUGCCGCGUGAGUGAAGAAGGCCUUCGGGUUGUAAAGCUCUUUUGUCCGGGAAGAAAUCCUUUUGGCUAAUAUCCAGAAGGGAUGACGGUACUGGAAGAAUAAGCACCGGCUAACUACGUGCCAGCAGCCGCGGUAAUACGUAGGGUGCAAGCGUUAAUCGGAAUUACUGGGCGUAAAGCGUGCGCAGGCGGUUGUGCAAGACAGAUGUGAAAUCCCCGGGCUUAACCUGGGAACUGCAUUUGUGACUGCACGGCUAGAGUGUGUCAGAGGGGGGUAGAAUUCCACGUGUAGCAGUGAAAUGCGUAGAGAUGUGGAGGAAUACCGAUGGCGAAGGCAGCCCCCUGGGAUAACACUGACGCUCAUGCACGAAAGCGUGGGGGAGCAAACAGGAUUAGAUACCCUGGUAGUCCACGCCCUAAACGAUGUCAACUAGUUGUCGGGUCUUAAUUGACUUGGUAACGCAGCUAACGCGUGAAGUUGACCGCCUGGGGAGUACGGUCGCAAGAUUAAAACUCAAAGGAAUUGACGGGGACCCGCACAAGCGGUGGAUGAUGUGGAUUAAUUCGAUGCAACGCGAAAAACCUUACCUACCCUUGACAUGUCUGGAACCCUGCUGAGAGGUGGGGGUGCUCGAAAGAGAACCAGAACACAGGUGCUGCAUGGCUGUCGUCAGCUCGUGUCGUGAGAUGUUGGGUUAAGUCCCGCAACGAGCGCAACCCUUGUCAUUAGUUGCUACGAAAGGGCGCUCUAAUGAGACUGCCGGUGACAAACCGGAGGAAGGUGGGGAUGACGUCAAGUCCUCAUGGCCCUUAUGGGUAGGGCUUCACACGUCAUACAAUGGUACAUACAGAGGGCUGCCAACCCGCGAGGGGGAGCUAAUCCCAGAAAGUGUAUCGUAGUCCGGAUUGUAGUCUGCAACUCGACUACAUGAAGUUGGAAUCGCUAGUAAUCGCGGAUCAGCAUGUCGCGGUGAAUACGUUCCCGGGUCUUGUACACACCGCCCGUCACACCAUGGGAGCGGGUUUUACCAGAAGUGGGUAGCCUAACCGCAAGGAGGGCGCUUACCACGGUAGGAUUCGUGACUGGGGUGAAGUCGUAACAAGGUAGCCG